CAGGACGAACGCUGGCGGCGCGCCUAACACAUGCAAGUCGAACGGAGCUUAGAGAGCUUGCUUUUUAAGCUUAGUGGCGAACGGGUGAGUAACGCGUGAGUAACCUGCCCUAGAGUGGGGGACAACAGUUGGAAACGACUGCUAAUACCGCAUAAGCCCACGGUACCGCAUGGUACUGAGGGAAAAGGAUUUAUUCGCUUUAGGAUGGACUCGCGUCCAAUUAGCUAGUUGGUGAGGUAACGGCCCACCAAGGCGACGAUUGGUAGCCGGACUGAGAGGUUGAACGGCCACAUUGGGACUGAGACACGGCCCAGACUCCUACGGGAGGCAGCAGUGGGGGAUAUUGCACAAUGGGGGAAACCCUGAUGCAGCGACGCCGCGUGGAGGAAGAAGGUCUUCGGAUUGUAAACUCCUGUUGUUGAGGAAGAUAAUGACGGUACUCAACAAGGAAGUGACGGCUAACUACGUG
rnacentral:rRNA from 1 species